rnacentral:rRNA from 1 species
UACGAAGGGGGCUAGCGUUGCUCGGAAUCACUGGGCGUAAAGCGCACGUAGGCGGACUCUUAAGUCAGGGGGUGAAAUCCCGGAGCUCAACUCCGGAACUGCCCUUGAAACUGCAGUGCUAGAAUCCUGGAGAGGCGAGUGGAAUUCCGAGUGUAGAGGUGAAAUUCGUAGAUAUUCGGAAGAACACCAGUGGCGAAGGCGACUCGCUGGACAGGUAUUGACGCUGAGGUGCGAAAGCGUGGGGAGCAAACAGG